UACAGAGGUCUCAAGCGUUGUUCGGAUUCAUUGGGCGUAAAGGGCGCGUAGGCGGUUCGGAAAGUCAGACGUGAAAUUCCUGGGCUCAACCUGGGGGCUGCGUUUGAUACGUGCGGACUUGAGUGCGGAAGAGGGUCGUGGAAUUCCCAGUGUAGAGGUGAAAUUCGUAGAUAUUGGGAAGAACACCGGUGGCGAAGGCGGCGACCUGGUCCGAUACUGACGCUGAGGCGCGAAAGCGUGGGGAGCAAACAGG
rnacentral:rRNA from 1 species